UCUCCGUUGGUGAACCAGCGGAGGGAUCAUUACAGGACUCGCAAGACUCCUACAACCAUGUGAACUUAACUAUAAGCACGUUGCUUCGGCGGGUGUCUCGGAGGGGGUUCUCCCUCCCCGAGACGCUAAACCCGCCGGCAGCCUACUAUACUCUGUCUCUUUGCGUUGGCAUCUCGAGUACAAUCAAACAAGUUAAAACUUUCAACAACGGAUCUCUUGGUUCUG
rnacentral:misc_RNA from 1 species